ACUGCAUGAAGAGGUGGCAGAAUGCAGUCAGAGCGUGGCUUCACCAAGCGGCACCGUGGUUCAGCUUCUCGUCACGGCCACUGUCCAUUUCUUCCCACCUUCCACUCCCAGUGAUACAAUGUUGUGCCUAGUUGACAAUAAAAUCUAGUUGGGACACAGAUACACAAGUGGACAAAGGAAAACUCUGCUCCUGUGGUGAUAUGCAGUCCUGGAAUGCCUUGUGAGGAUAGAACAGGACCAUCUUAAAGGUCACUGCAACAAGUACGUCAGGAACUGUAUGAAGACACAAGAGGUCAGAAACAAGUAGUUUUAUUGACCGAGAGCUCUAAACAGGCAGCAACUUCCACACAUCACCAUGGAAUUACUUAAGUCUGCGUAUCAAUUUAACACUGUCGUUGGUGUAACUUGGUUCCCCAAAUGAUGAAACAGAGUCUAAGAUGCAAUGCCAUGUGAAGGGCACACUCUUCACAAGUGAUAGAGUUUGGGUUCAGCUUACAGCCCCAGGAUAUCGAAGCAGUGUCACCAGGGUGGUCUCUAUGGCAUUUUCCUGUAAGAGGAGGGCUUACGCAUCACACAGAUGACCCACACUAUUUGGUUCAGGUAGCAAAGAAUCUUAUGAACCAUGUGUUUUAUUUUUCAACUUGAUUAAAUAUUUUACCAGGAAUGUCAAGUGUCCACAUUGCUGUUGGCAUAUAGAGAUUUUGAGUAAUUAGUUUGGUAUAUUCCAAAAAUAGAAUCUUUACAUACAAAAAGAAACCCUUGUUGCUUUUAAGAUGUAGUAUAAUGUUUGAUGUUUACUGAAAACACAACAAUGCACUAAUGACAACAUUUGAAAGUAUCAAGAAAUUUAAUUCACAUACAAUCUCAAAGUUCUUUUUGCAUAUUUUUUAUAAUUUUUAUCAUCUUUACUUUAUUGCCAUAGCCUUAUGGUUCAUAUAAACUCUUUAUAUGAUAUGCUAAUUCUUUAUAUUUCUACAUCAAGUUAUUCAUGACAGUUGUUUCCAUUUGACUUGUUUGUUGAGAUAUAACAUUUUAAAAUAGUUAUUACCUCCUACCUUUUCACUGUGUUUUUUCUACAUGUGUGUUGCAUGCUCUGUGUGUGUGUGUGCGCGCGCGCGUGCACGCGCACGCACAAUUCAGGAGUUGGUUCUGGGGUUGAACUCUAGUUGUACAGUAAACACUAAGCAAGUUUAUCUGCUGAGCCAUCACGCUGGCUUUGACUAUUCCUCUAGAAACUGUCUAACCUUCCUACUAUCCUCACACAGAAGCAGUCUUCCUAGGCUUUGUUUACUGUCCAAUGCUGUUUUCAAGUCAAGCUAUCUUUAACUCUUUAAUUAGUUUUGACACAAAAUAUGGAUUUAAUUUUGUUAAUUAAUUAUACCAUUAUAAUUUUAUACUGUCUAUUGAAGAAUUAAUGUUCUAUUGUUUCAUUAUAUACACUAUUAUAUUUUACAGACAGUGAAGGCCAGAUGAGAUUUCAGUUUUAUAAAAGGGAAUUCAUUGUUUCUGUGUUUAUUCUAAAAUGCACCUGUUUCAUUUAUUAUAUACACGAGAAUAUUUUAAUUUAAUGAAUGUUAAAUGAGUGUUGAAUAUUGAUAUUCUCCAAUAUAUUUGAAUAUAGUUUGUUCCUGAAUAUUCAUUGUCAUUUCAAUAUUAAUACAAAGACCCAUCUUCUUGCUUGGCAUAUUUCUGUUUCAAAUAUAACAUAAUUCCGAAGCUC
rnacentral:lncRNA from 1 species